rnacentral:rRNA from 1 species
UACGUAGGGACCAAGCGUUGUUCGGAUUUACUGGGCGUAAAGGGCGCGUAGGCGGCGCGGUAAGUCACUUGUGAAAUCUCUGAGCUUAACUCAGAACGGCCAAGUGAUACUGCAGUGCUAGAGUGUGGAAGGGGCAAUCGGAAUUCUCGGUGUAGCGGUGAAAUGCGUAGAUAUCGAGAGGAACACCUGAGGUGAAGACGGGUUGCUGGGCCGACACUGACGCUGACAGCGCGAAAGCCAGGGGAGCAAACGGG